AGAGUUUGAUCAUGGCUCAGGACGAACGCUGGCGGCGCGCCUAACACAUGCAAGUCGAACGAGAGAUGAGGAGCUUGCUCUUCAGAUCGAGUGGCGAACGGGUGAGUAACGCGUGAGGAACCUGCCUCAAAGAGGGGGACAACAGUUGGAAACGACUGCUAAUACCGCAUAAGCCCACGGCUCGGCAUCGAGCAGAGGGAAAAGGAGCAAUCCGCUUUGAGAUGGCCUCGCGUCCGAUUAGCUAGUUGGUGAGGUAACGGCCACCAAGGCGACGAUCGGUAGCCGGACUGAGAGGUUGAACGGCCACAUUGGGACUGAGCACGGCCCAGACUCCAGGGAGCA
rnacentral:rRNA from 1 species